rnacentral:rRNA from 1 species
GACGAACGCUGGCGGCGUGCUUAACACAUGCAAGUCGAGCGGAAAGGCCACUUCGGUGGUACUCGAGCGGCGAACGGGUGAGUAACACGUGAGUAAUCUGCCCUUCACUCUGGGAUAGCCACCGGAAACGGUGAUUAAUACCGGAUACGACCACUCCACGCAUGUGGUGGUGGUGGAAACUUUUUGGGUGGGGGAUGUGACUCGCGGCCUAUCAGCUUGUUGGUGGGGUAAUGGCCUACCAAGGCUUCGACGGGUAGCCGGCCUGAGAGGGUGAGCGGCCACGCUAGGACUGAGAGCCGGCCGAGACUCCUGCGGGAGGCAGCAGUGGGGAAUAUUGGACAAUGGGAGGAAGCCUGAUCCAGCAACGCCGCGUGAGGGAUGACGGCGUUCGGGUUGUAAACCUCUUUCAGCACCGACGAAGCGCAAGUGACGGUAGGUGCAGAUGAAGGACCGGCCAACUACGUGCCAGCCGCCGCCGUAA